rnacentral:misc_RNA from 1 species
AAAGUCGUAACAAGGUUUCCGUAGGUGAACCUGCGGAAGGAUCAUCAGUGAUUUGCCCUUUUAUUAGGGCGCUUAACUACAACGGCCGACAUAUUGAAUAAUAGGCGAGCGGGUUUGGCUCUGUUUGAGAUUGAGACCAUUUUACUUUUACUAUUAAAAAGUAUUUUGGAUCUUGGUCGCUACUGGCCCCGCGCCCUACUAUAAACAACAACCCUUUUAUAACCAACCAGUCAAAACAAGAAAAUCCAAAAAAAUACAACUUUCAACAAUGGAUCUCUUGGCUCUU